CCAGGUUACGAUGUCGAUUUGGAGGUUGUGCCCUUGAGGCGUGGCUUCCGAAGCUAACGCGUUAAAUCGACCGCCUGGGGAGUACGGCCGCAAGGUUAAAACUCAAAUGAAUUGACGGGGGCCCGCACAAGCGGUGGAGCAUGUGGUUUAAUUCGAUGCAACGCGAAGAACCUUACCUACUCUUGACAUCCAGCGAAUCCUGUAGAGAUACGGGAGUGCCUUCGGGAACGCUGAGACAGGUGCUGCAUGGCUGUCGUCAGCUCGUGUUGUGAAAUGUUGGGUUAAGUCCCGCAACGAGCGCAACCCUUAUCCUUUGUUGCCAGCGGUUCGGCCGGGAACUCAAAGGAGACUGCCAGUGAUAAACUGGAGGAAGGUGGGGAUGACGUCAAGUCAUCAUGGCCCUUACGAGUAGGGCUACACACGUGCUACAAUGGCGUAUACAAAGAGAAGCGAACUCGCGAGAGCAAGCGGACCUCAUAAAGUACGUCGUAGUCCGGAUUGGAGUCUGCAACUCGACUCCAUGAAGUCGGAAUCGCUAGUAAUCGUGGAUCAGAAUGCCACGGUGAAUACGUUCCCGGGCCUUGUACACACCGCCCGUCACACCAUGGGAGUGGGUUGCAAAAGAAGUAGGUAGCUUAAC
rnacentral:rRNA from 1 species